AACCAUUCCAAAGGAUACAAGACAUCCACUAAUUUU
rnacentral:tRNA from 1 species